rnacentral:hammerhead_ribozyme from 1 species
AUCCAUCUGACAAGUCCCGAACAGGACGAAGCGCAUGCCCUGGAU